UUGACGGGGUCGGUUAGCUGCAGGCGAUGGGGUGUGAGUGCUGACCGGCAGCCCUGCUCCUCCAGGUAAAUGGGGAGGGAUCAUGUGCACCACUAUCAUGGUCCUCAGUACGCUCGCCAUAUUCCUGCAUCGAAGGUUCUUCAACAAAGUCAAGCCGCACCCUGAGGAAUUCGAUGAGAAAGAGGCCACAGUGCGCGGUGAGGGCAGGUAACUCUCCCACGCUCACCAGUGGAGGCUGCCACUCUCAGGAUAUCAGAAGGCUAAUACUUCUCAGCAGCAAAGACGGAUUCUCCACGCCUGCUUUAGGAAUUGCAAGCAGAUGCAGGUUCUAGAAGCGCAGCGCACCCUCCUAACUAUGGCUAGAAAGACGUGAAUUUAUCCUCAUCCCAGCUCUGGAGCUGGCCUGGGCAGCCUCUCCCGACAGCUCAACGCAAGGCUGCUUCUGCAGAACUCCCCGACGUCAAAACCACCGCCCUGAAUAAGCCUGCAAUGACCGCUGUACAGCCAAGGAGCAAGCCUGCGCUGGGAGGUCACUGGGAGGACUUGCCACCACGUGGCAUGGUCUAAUAACACUGGGAGAUAAUAAGGAGCGCCUCUGCUCCUCACAACCUAAGACUGACAUUUCUUCAGGAGGUUCUAGGUGCACAAUGUAGCUCCCGGGAUGCAUUCAAUGCAGCUUUGCUUUAAUAAAUAGUUGUCUUUGUCCCGCUUCUCUUUCAAAUAUGUGAAGGUUUGUUGUCCACCCCAGUGAACGCCUCAUC